UAAGGAAUAUUGGUCAAUGGACGCAAGUCUGAACCAGCCAUGCCGCGUGAAGGAUGAAGGUCCUCUGGAUUGUAAACUUCUUUUAUCUGGGACGAAAACGGGAUUUUUAUCUCAAUUGACGGUACCAGAGGAAUAAGCACCGGCUAACUCCGUGCCAGCAGCCGCGGUAAUACGGCGGGUGCGAGCGUUAUCCGGAUUUACUGGGUUUAAAGGGUGCGUAGGUGGGCUUAUAAGUCAGUGGUGAAAUCUCCGAGCUUAACUUGGAAACUGCCGUUGAUACUAUAGGUCUUGAAUUAUCUGGAGGUAAGCGGAAUAUGUCAUGUAGCGGUGAAAUGCUUAGAUAUGACAUAGAACACCAAUUGCGAAGGCAGCUUACUACAUAUAAAUUGACGCUGAGGCACGAAAGCGUGGGGAUCAAACA
rnacentral:rRNA from 1 species